rnacentral:rRNA from 1 species
ACGGGGGGUGCAAGCGUUACUCGGAAUCACUGGGCGUAAAGAGCAUGUAGGCUGGUUUGUAAGUUGGAAGUGAAAUCCUAUGGCUUAACCAUAGAACUGCUUCCAAAACUGCAGACCUAGAGUAUGGGAGAGGUAGAUGGAAUUUCUGGUGUAGGGGUAAAAUCCGUAGAGAUCAGAAGGAAUACCGAUUGCGAAGGCGAUCUACUGGAACAUUACUGACGCUGAGAUGCGAAAGCGUGGGGAGCAAACAGG